CCUACGGGAGGCAGCAGUGAGGAAUAUUGGUCAAUGGGCGAGAGCCUGAACCAGCCAAGUCGCGUGAAGGAUGACUGCCCUAUGGGUUGUAAACUUCUUUUAUAUGGGAAUAAAGUGCAGUAUGUAUACUGCUUUGCAUGUACCUUAUGAAUAAGGAUCGGCGAACUCCGUGCCAGCAGCCGCGGUAAUACGGAGGAUUCGAGCGUUAUCCGGAUUUAUUGGGUUUAAAGGGAGCGUAGGAGGGUUGUUAAGUCAGUUGUGAAAGUUUGCGGCUCAACCGUAAAAUUGCAGUUGAUACUGGCAGCCUUGAGUACAGUAGAGGUAGGCGGAAUUCGUGGUGUAGCGGUGAAAUGCGUAGAGAUCACGAAGAACUCCGAUGGCGAAGGCAGCCUGCUGGACUGUAACUGACGCUGAUGCUCGAAAGUGUGGGUAGCAAACAGGAUUAGAUACCCUUGUAGUC
rnacentral:rRNA from 1 species